rnacentral:rRNA from 1 species
UACGUAGGGUGCGAGCGUUAAUCGGAAUUACUGGGCGUAAAGUGUGCGCAGGCGGCCGCGCAAGUCGGGUGUGAAAGCCCCGAGCUUAACUUGGGAACUGCGCUCGAAACUACGUGGCUGGAGUGUGGCAGAGGAAGGUGGAAUUCCAGGUGUAGCGGUGAAAUGCGUAGAGAUCUGGAGGAACACCGAUGGCGAAGGCAGCCUUCUGGGCCAACACUGACGCUCAUGCACGAAAGCGUGGGGAGCAAACAGG